rnacentral:rRNA from 1 species
UACAGAGGGUGCAAGCGUUAAUCGGAAUUACUGGGCGUAAAGCGUGCGUAGACGGUUGCGUAAGUCAGAUGUGAAAGCCCCGGGCUCAACCUGGGAAUUGCAUUUGAGACUGCGUAGCUAGGGUGCGGAAGAGGGAAGCGGAAUUUCCGGUGUAGCGGUGAAAUGCGUAGAUAUCGGAAGGAAGACCAGUGGCGAAGGCGGGUCUCUGGACAGUUCCUGACGCUGAGGCACGAAGGUCAGGGGAGCAAACGGGG